rnacentral:snRNA from 1 species
AUACUUACGUAGCAGGGAGACUACCAUGAUCACAAAGGUUGUUUUCUCAAGGUGAGGCUUAUCUACUAAUCCCAUUAUUUCUCCAAAUGUGGGAAAUUUGAGUAAUUUGUGGCAAUGGGAGGCUGCUCUUGUGCUCUUCACU